AGAUGUACCUAAGACUAACUCUGGCAGCUCUGAUAGUCUGCCAUGUUGGCUCCUUGUCAUACUUUCGUGAACUUGGAUAUCUGAGAUUACCCAGCCAGCUUCGCCCAGCUGAGGUUUACAAGAUGUUUGGAGAAACCGUAGAAAGUACAGCUUUUGACAGCAGUAACGCUAUUCUCUAUGUCGUAGGAACUGGUUCCAAGUUACUUCACGUGGUUGACGUAUCCAAUCCCAGUGCCCCUAGAAGACUUACAAACUAUGAGUUCCAGGUCGGCGAUGGUGAACCGCGUGAUGUUGAGGUCUGUGGUAACACGGUGUCAGUAUCGCUGACAGCUGAUAUUUCAGUGUUUGAAGGUCAUGUUCAGUUCUUUGAUCUGUAUGAUCCACUUUCAAACAGCAUUCACUACAGGAACAGAGUGACGGUUGGAGUGCAACCUGAGAAUAUAGAAUAUACACCAGAUUGUAAAACACUGAUAGUUGCUAAUGAAGGAUCACCUGGUGUUGAUCACCUUAAGAGAUAUAUUGAUCCAGAAGGUUCUAUUUCCUUACUAACAUUUAGUAAUGGUAAUGCCGUAGAAAAAUUUGUAGAUUUCAACAAUUUCAAUCAAAGAGAGGAUGUAAGAAUGCCAGGCCGGGCCAUACCAACAGCAGUAUUACCUCAGCGAAGUACAGUAGCACAAGAAUUAGAACCAGAAUACAUCACAUCUAUAGACACUUCAUACGCUUAUGUUACCUUCCAGGAAAAUGAUGCUAUAGGAAGAAUCAACCUGAAGACUUUUAGUGCUGAUAUUUUGGCUCCACUGCCAAAAAAGGAUUGGACUGACAUCGGUUUAGAUGCUAGUGAUCGAGAUGGUGGUA